rnacentral:rRNA from 1 species
GAUGAACGCUGGCGGCGUGCCUAAUACAUGCAAGUCGAGCGAACGGACGAGAAGCUUGCUUCUCUGAUGUUAGCGGCGGACGGGUGAGUAACACGUGGAUAACCUACCUAUAAGACUGGGAUAACUUCGGGAAACCGGAGCUAAUACCGGAUAAUAUUUUGAACCGCAUGGUUCAAAAGUGAAAGACGGUCUUGCUGUCACUUAUAGGUGGAUCCGCGCUGCAUUAGCUAGUUGGUAAGGUAACGGCUUACCAAGGCAACGAUGCAUAGCCGACCUGAGAGGGUGAUCGGCCACACUGGAACUGAGACACGGUCCAGACUCCUACGGGAGGCAGCAGUAGGGAAUCUUCCGCAAAGGGCGAAAGCCUGACGGAGCAACGCCGCGUGAGUGAUGAAGGUCUUCGGAUCGUAAAACUCUGUUAUUAGGGAAGAACAUAUGUGUAAGUAACUGUGCACAUCUUGACGGUACCUAAUCAGAAAGCCACGGCUAACUACGUG